GACCUCUCCUCAAAAAGUCUCAGGUGAUUCAGCCCCACAGCAGCAGGGGCACGACACCUUCUGUCCUGAAGGCUGAUAACCGGUGAUGUGGACAGCUGCCAUUCACUCUGGGGAAGAUGCUGCCUAAUUCCACACCCACCGCCUGCAUGUCUAGUGAGAGCCUGCCUAUUCCUAUGGGGACACCCCAAAAUUAGCUCCACCAAGAAGCCUCCUCCACCUCCAUUCUCCACAGAAGACACUCAUCUUAUAUGCUUGGCUACAGGUCCUGUUUGCUCUGCUAUUAUCCCUAUCACCUGUCCCUGUCUGUUCAAUUGUCUCACAUGAGCAGAGAGACGAUGUCUCAUUCAG
rnacentral:lncRNA from 1 species